UACGGAGGGUGCAAACGUUGCUCGGAAUUAUUGGGCGUAAAGCGCACGUAGGCGGACCAUCAAGUCGGAUGUGAAAUCCCUCGGCUCAACCGAGGAACUGCGUCCGAUACUGGUGGGCUUGAAUCCGGGAGAGGGAUGUGGAAUUCCAGGUGUAGCGGUGAAAUGCGUAGAUAUCUGGAGGAACACCGGUGGCGAAGGCGGCAUCCUGGACCGGUAUUGACGCUGAUGCGCGAAAGCCAGGGGAGCAAACGGG
rnacentral:rRNA from 1 species